rnacentral:lncRNA from 1 species
AUGGGUGCAGUGGUCCAAGUACUUGGGCCAUCUUCCACUGCCUUUCCUAGGCAAAUUAGCAGGGAGCUGGAUUGGAAGUGGAGCAGCCAGGUCUUGAACCGGUGCCCGUAUGGGAUGCCGGCGUCAGAAGCAGAGGCUAACCCUGCAGGGCUACAGGUCUGGCCUGGCCCCAUUUGUGGUCUUAAUGAGGUAAAACUUGCACAGGGUCGACCUCAGGAAGGGUUCUGUGGGUUCAGGGCCCGGGCAGCUCCCCUACCUCCUGGGGUAUUUUCAUCCCCAACCAGGGGAAACUCCACACCCACACGCAGCCCACCCGGCCCCUCCUCCUCUUCUCCCAACCCCGGCUCCUGCCCCCCUCACGGCUUCUCUCAGAGCCGGGACCCCGCCGGAGGUGGCCUGCUCUCAGGUCUGGUGUGUACGGCAGCUGUGCUCUGGGCCUUGUUGAGGCUGGACAGCCGGAUUGUGCCCACCUGGCUUGUACAUGCAGGUACAAGUUGCUGUCACAGCCCCUGUUUUCCACCUCUAGGGCACACACCCAGGAACGGAACCACAGGGUCAUGUCGGGAUUCUCUGGCUUCUUCGGGCGCUGCCCAGCUGUUUUCCACAGCGGCCGCACCACUGGCUCACGGUGAGCUCCAGGAAAGGGCCAGAAACCUAGGGGAGGGGGCCAGGGCUGGACUCCCACCGCCUAGGGACAAGCAGCUGGCUCGCAAACACCCAGGCCUGCUCAGCCAGGGGACACCAUGGGGCAUGCGGGAGACCACCAGGGGCCCCCAAAGCCAUAGCCCUGGCCCUGGGCCCCCGCCCCGCGCAGUGGGACGCCUCCUCCUGCCCUCUGCCUGCCAGUCGAUCCCUGCCUGCCGUGAGAGAGUCAGUGUUUUUCCAAAGCCAGCUGGAAAGUCCCCGUGUGGCCGAUCCCACAGCACGUGCUGCAGCCGGGGCGUCCUGCCCGACACCCAAUCCCCGGCCCGCCCGCCGCCCCACCCGCUAAUCUGGCCAAGACCCCUCUGGGUCCCCCACGGGCACAAUGGGCAGAAACGCCCGGGGCUGUGUGCGGGUGGGGCAGGGAGCUGGCUGGAAUCUGGGGAAUUCAGCGCAAAGUAA